AUUGAACGCUGGCGGCAGGCCUAACACAUGCAAGUCGAACGAGUGGCGGACGGGUGAGUAAUGUCUGGGAAACUGCCUGAUGGAGGGGGAUAACUACUGGAAACGGUAGCUAAUACCGCAUACCAUCAGAUGUGCCCAGAUGGGAUUAGCUAGUAGGUGGGGUAAAGGCACACCUAGGCGAAGAUCGCUAGCUGGUCUGAGAGGAUGACCAGCAACACUGGAUUUGACACACGGUCGAGACUCAUGCGUGGGGCCGCAGUGGGGUAUAUUGCACAAUGGGCGCAAGUCUGAUGCAGCCAUGCCGUGUGUAUGAAGAAGGCCCUCGGGUUGUAAUGUACUUUCAGCGGGGAGACUUUACCCGGAAGAAGCACCGGCUAACUCCGUGCCAGCAGCCGCGGUAAUAC
rnacentral:rRNA from 1 species